UGGCGGACGGGUGAGUAAUGUCUGGGAAACUGCCCGAUGGAGGGGGGUAACUACUGGAAACGGUAGCUAAUACCGCAUAACGUCGCAAGACCAAAGAGGGGGACCUUCGGGCCUCUUGCCAUCGGAUGUGCCCAGAUGGGAUUAGCUAGUAGGUGGGUAAAGGCUCACCUAGGCGACGAUCCCUAGCUGGUCUGAGAGGAUGACCAGCCACACUGGAACUGAGACACGGUCCAG
rnacentral:rRNA from 1 species